UUAGCAGAGAUGCUUUGGUGCCUUCGGGAACUCUGAGACAGGUGCUGCAUGGCUGUCGUCAGCUCGUGUUGUGAAAUGUUGGGUUAAGUCCCGCAACGAGCGCAACCCUUAUCCUUUGUUGCCAGCGGUUAGGCCGGGAACUCAAAGGAGACUGCCAGUGAUAAACUGGAGGGAAGGUGGGGAUGACGUCAAGUCAUCAUGGCCCUUACGAGUAGGGCUACACACGUGCUACAAUGGCGCAUACAAAGAGAAGCGACCUCGCGAGAGCAAGCGGACCUCAUAAAGUGCGUCGUAGUCCGGAUUGGAGUCUGCAACUCGACUCCAUGAAGUCGGAAUCGCUAGUAAUCGUGGAUCAGAAUGCCACGGUGAAUACGUUCCCGGGCCUUGUACACACCGCCCGUCACACCAUGGGAGUGGGUUGCAAAAGAAGUAGGUAGCUUAACCUUCGGGAGGGCGCUUACCACUUUGUGAUUCAUGACUGGGGUGAAGUCGUAACAAGGUAGGCGUAGUGCU
rnacentral:rRNA from 1 species